UGGGGAAUAUUGCACAAUGGACGGAAGUCUGAUGCAGCAACGCCGCGUGCGGGAUGACGGCCUUCGGGUUGUAAACCGCUUUUUCUCAUGACGAAGUUUUUUGACGGUAGUGGGGGAAGAAGCACCGGCUAACUACGUGCCAGCAGCCGCGGUGAUACGUAGGGUGCGAGCGUUGUCCGGAAUUAUUGGGCGUAAAGAGCUUGUAGGCGGUUUGUCGCGUCGAUAGUGCAAACUCAGUGCUUUACGCUGAGCCUGCUGUUGAUACGGGCAGACUAGAGGAAGGUAGGGGAGAAUGGAAUUCCCGGUGGAGCGGUGGAAUGCGCAGAUAUCGGGAGGAACACCGGUGGCGAAGGCGGUUCUCUGGGCCUUUCCUGACGCUGAGAAGCGAAAGCGUGGGGAGCGAACAGG
rnacentral:rRNA from 1 species